rnacentral:miRNA from 1 species
AGUCAGAGGAGGGUUU